CGCGCGGCCUGAGCACGAUGGAAGGUGAGGACUCAUGGAGGAGGAAGACAACCUGGACUUGGCUGCCGCUAUGGAUAUGGCUGCACGGAACUGAACUGUAUGUGAUACGACUCGAAGCGAUCAGGUUCCCGCAAGCAAGCCGCAUGGUUAUCAUAUCUGAAGAAGACGACGACGAGGUGUCAGUGCAGUGACAUUGAUCAGCGCAGCACGAACGGUUCUGAUUUGAAUCCUUAUGUAAAUCGCCCAAACGAUAAAAAGAGGUGAUCAUACUCCAGCAUUCUGUUGACCGAUUCUUCAUCUCAGCUUUUUAACUUUGGCUGUACUUCGGAUUUUCAGAAGAUAACCUGAUCUCGACGACUCAGUCUCGUAUUGCCUGAUUUCUUGAUCUUUAGACGUUCAUAUAUAUUCGUGUCUUCUCUUGACUCUAAUUAAUCUAGCGUCAUUUCAGUGCCCUUUCUGAAAGCUACAUUUCUGAUUUUCCUCUCCAACCCGAAAAAGCAUGGAAUGCUCCAUUUUAGUCAUCA
rnacentral:lncRNA from 7 species